AACGCACCUUGCGCCCCUUGGUAUUCCGAGGGGCAUGCCUGUUUGAGUGUCAUUAAAUUAUCAACUCGAAAACUUUGCAUUUUCGAUGCUUGGAAUUGGAGCGUGCAGGGGGGGCCCCUAUGGGUGGUCUCUGCUCCUCUUGAAAUGCAUUAGUGGAACUAGACGGACCCACUCCGGCGUGAUAGUUUAUCUACGUUGCGGCGGCAAAGUCGACAGAGAACCGCUUACAACUGUUGCAUAUAUGCGUAUUAUAUGCGCGCAACAAUUUCUUGACAAUUUGACCUCAAAUCAGGUAGGACUACCCGCUGAACUUAA
rnacentral:misc_RNA from 1 species